GACGAACGCUGGCGGCGUGCUUAACACAUGCAAGUCGAACGGACAAGCGCCGUCCUUGUUGGUCUGUGGUGAGGGGUGGCCGACUGGGUAGUAACACGUUAGUCACCUUCUCCCUUCUUCUGGAUAACCGCAUGAAGGUGUUGCUAAUACGGGAUAUUCUGAAUCUGUCGCAUGAUUAGUCUGGGAAGGUUUUGGUGUCGGUUGUGGAUGGGCUCGCGGCCUAUUAGCUUGUUGGUGGGGUGAUGGCCUACCAAGGCGGUGACGGGUAGCCGGCCUGAGAGGGUCGACGGCAACACUGGGAAGGAGACACGGCGAAGACUACUAGGGGCGGCAGUAGUGGGGAUUACUGAACAGUGGGAGACAGGAUGAUGCAGCGCCGCGGCGUGAGGGAUGGAGGCCUUAGCGUUGAGAACAUCUUUUGGGAGUGAAGAAGGCUUGAAUUGUUUGUGGGUGGGUUGACGGUAGCUGGACAAGAAGCGACGGCUAACUACGUG
rnacentral:rRNA from 1 species